rnacentral:tRNA from 1 species
GCCGGCUUAGCUCAGUUGGUAGAGCAGCGCACUUGUAAUGCGAAGGUCAGAGGUUCAAAUCCCCUAGUCGGCACCA